UACGGAAGGCAGCAGUGGGGAAUAUUGCACAAUGGGCGCAAGCCUGAUGCAGCCAUGCCGCGUGUAUGAAGAAGGCCUUCGGGUUGUAAAGUACUUUCAGCGGGGAGGAAGGCGAUGCGGUUAAUAACCGCGUCGAUUGACGUUACCCGCAGAAGAAGCACCGGCUAACUCCGUGCCAGCAGCCGCGGUAAUACGGAGGGUGCAAGCGUUAAUCGGAAUUACUGGGCGUAAAGCGCACGCAGGCGGUCUGUUAAGUCAGAUGUGAAAUCCCCGGGCUUAACCUGGGAACUGCAUUUUGAAACUGGCAGGCUUGAGUCUUGUAGAGGGGGUAGAAUUCCAGGUGUAGCGGUGAAAUGCGUAGAGAUCUGGAGGAAUACCGGUGGCGAAGGCGGCCCCUGGGACAAAGACUGACGCUCAGGUGCGAAAGCGUGGGGAGCGAAACAGGAUUAGAUACC
rnacentral:rRNA from 1 species